UGGGGAAUAUUGCACAAUGGGGGAAACCCUGAUGCAGCGACGCCGCGUGGAGGAAGAAGGUCUUCGGAUUGUAAACUCCUGUUGUUGAGGAAGAUAAUGACGGUACUCAACAAGGAAGUGACGGCUAACUACGUGCCAGCAGCCGCGGUAAAACGUAGGUCACAAGCGUUGUCCGGAAUUACUGGGUGUAAAGGGAGCGCAGGCGGGAAGACAAGUUGGAAGUGAAAUCUAUGGGCUCAACCCAUAAACUGCUUUCAAAACUGUUUUUCUUGAGUAGUGCAGAGGUAGGCGGAAUUCCCGGUGUAGCGGUGGAAUGCGUAGAUAUCGGGAGGAACACCAGUGGCGAAGGCGGCCUACUGGGCACCAACUGACGCUGAGGCUCGAAAGUGUGGGUAGCAAACAGGAUUAGAUACCCUGGUAGUCCACACCGUAAACGAUGAUUACUAGGUGUUGGAGGAUUGACCCCUUCAGUGCCGCAGUUAACACAAUAAGUAAUCCACCUGGGGAGUACGACCGCAAGGUUGAAACUCAAAGGAAUUGACGGGGGCCCGCACAAGCAGUGGAGUAUGUGGUUUAAUUCGACGCAACGCGAAGAACCUUACCAAGUCUUGACAUCCCUUGACAGACAUAGAAAUAUGUAUUCUCUUCGGAGCAAGGAGACAGGUGGUGCAUGGUUGUCGUCAGCUCGUGUCGUGAGAUGUUGGGUUAAGUCCCGCAACGAGCGCAACCCUUAUGGUCAGUUACUACGCAAGAGGACUCUGGCCAGACUGCCGUUGACAAAACGGAGGAAGGUGGGGAUGACGUCAAAUCAUCAUGCCCUUUAUGAUCUGGGCGACACACGUGCUACAAUGGCGGUCACAGAGUGAGGCGAACCCGCGAGGGGGAGCAAACCACAAAAAGGCCGUCCCAGUUCGGACUGUAGUCUGCAACCCGACUACACGAAGCUGGAAUCGCUAGUAAUCGCGAAUCAGAAUGUCGCGGUGAAUACGUUCCC
rnacentral:rRNA from 1 species